UACGGAGGAGGCAAGCGUUAUCCGGAAUUAUUGGGCGUAAAGCGUCCGUAGGUGGCUAGUCAAGUCUGCGGUCAAAGACUGGGGCUUAACCCUGGAAAGGCCGUGGAAACUGACGAGCUAGAGUGCAGUAGGGGUAGAGGGAAUUCCUGGUGUAGCGGUGAAAUGCGCAGAUAUCAGGAGGAACACCAAUUGCGAAGGCAGCUCGCUGGGACGUGACUGACGCUGAGACGCGAAAGCGUGGGGAGCAAACAGG
rnacentral:rRNA from 1 species